GUGGUUUAUUAACGGGGAAACUGGUUUAAAUUGUAUCGAGUUAGUAUCCCGUGGUUUCGUACUUUUUUACUUUAGUAUUAUAUAGUUUAAAGUGUAUCAAAUUAAUAUUAUGUAGUUUCGUACUUUCUCACUUUAGUAUCUUGUGAUUUCAAGUGUAUCAAGUUAGUACCCUAUGGUUUUAUAGUUUCAAUUUUUUCUUUUUAUUAUUCAUUUCGGAAUAUAUAAUUUAACGAAAUAUUAAACCACAUGAUACUAAAAUGAAAAAGUGCGAAACCAUAUGGGGAUAUUUGAAGUUUCCCCUUUAUUAAUUGUGGUUUUUUUAAUAUACUUUAGAGCUGCUCUAUUAUUGAAAAAUUAAUUUCAUACAAAUUUCUACAAAUAUAAUAAAUUAUAAAUAUAUUUUUACAAAGUUUAAUUUUUAUAUAUUGUUUCUGUAAAAAUCCUAAUGUUUUUAAAUAUAUCUUUACCAUUUGGAUACGUUAGAAAAAAUUAGUUGACAAUAAAUAAAAUACUUAAGCUUAGUUAGUUAAUAAAUUUUUAAAAAAUAAACUUAAUUAAAAAUAUAAAAUAUUUAGAUUUCAAAUAUGAGUCCUUCGACAAUAAUCAUAAAAUUUUUUGUCACAUGUACU
rnacentral:lncRNA from 1 species